rnacentral:rRNA from 1 species
UCGAACGGUGAAGGAGAGCUUGCUCUCUGGAUCAGUGGCGAACGGGUGAGUAACACGUGAGCAACCUGCCCCGGACUCUGGGAUAAGCGCUGGAAACGGCGUCUAAUACCGGAUACGAGCUGCGAAGGCAUCUUCAGCAGCUGGAAAGAACUUCGGUCUGGGAUGGGCUCGCGGCCUAUCAGCUAGUUGGUGAGGUAACGGCUCACCAAGGCGUCGACGGGUAGCCGGCCUGAGAGGGUGACCGGCCACACUGGGACUGAGACACGGCCCAGACUCCUACGGGAGGCAGCAGUGGGGAAUAUUGCACAAUGGGCGAAAGCCUGAUGCAGCAACGCCGCGUGAGGGAUGACGGCCUUCGGGUUGUAAACCUCUUUUAGCAGGGAAGAAGCGAAUUUGACGGUACCUGCCGAAAAAGCGCCGGCUAACUACGUG